CGUUCCCGGGCCUUGUACACACCGCCCGUCACGUCACGAAAGUCGGUAACACCCGAAGCCAGUGGCCCAACCCUUGUGGGGGGAGCUGUCGAAGGUGGGAUCGGCGAUUGGGACG
rnacentral:rRNA from 1 species